UACGUAGGGUGCGAGCGUUAAUCGGAAUUACUGGGCGUAAAGGGCUCGUAGGCGGCCAACUAAGUCAGACGUGAAAUCCCCAGGCUCAACCUGGGAACUGCGUCUGAUACUGGAUGGCUUGAAUCCGGGAGAGGGAUGCAGAAUUCCAGGUGUAGCGGUGAAAUGCGUAGAUAUCUGGAGGAAUACCGGUGGCGAAGGCGGCAUCCUGGACCGGCAUUGACGCUGAGGAGCGAAAGCCAGGGGAGUAAACGGG
rnacentral:rRNA from 1 species